AAGGGAUCAAGAAAGAAAUAUCUCCCAUCCCAAGAACUGCCGUUGCUUUCUGGGAUGUGCUUUAUCCUGUACGCGGUAAUUGCACUGUCAGACCAAGAAAAUCAUCCCCAUCAGUUUAGUGGUGAGCCCUUGCUUUGCUUCCUGCUCUGCGUGGCAUUUGGAUGCCCUUUAAAGAGGAACUUGUGCUGCACUCCUGGUGACUUGGGUCAGCAGCUCCUCGCACAGCAGCACGGAGGGCCUGCCAUUUACAGACCUGCACUCACGCUGCUGAAUCACAAAAAGCUUGCAGAAAAGGAGAAUUAAUGAGCUGCGCAGUGAGGAACAACCUUCCCACCCACGCUGUGCCCUCCCUCCCCCUUGGCUGAGGGCAUGGCAGGACAUGGGGACAGGCACGCAAGACGUAAAAAAACCGUACGUAGGGAUGAGUGCUGUGGGCAGUUAUUGAACGGCUUUGUAGGGGAUGUGGACAGUGGGAUGGAGGGCAUCCUCAGCAGGCUGCAGAUGACACCAAACUGGGCUGUGCAGUUUUGCUGCCCCGGGUCUCAGGAGCGCUCUGUUCCGGUGCUUCCUUCUCUUCUGGCUGUGGUGUCUCUGGUAGCUCUGAAUGGGGCCCGUCCAUCCCUUUGAGCUUCUUGUUCUGUCCUCGUCUUCAGAGUUCUGUUUUACACAGUCCAUAGGGGAGCUGCCUCUGCCCAUGCGGUGCGGAUCCUCAGGCUGCCUGUAGGAGCACAUUGGGGUGCAGAGCGGGACGGGUGCCUUCCUCAUGCAUCAGUCGGUGCCUUGGCCAGGUGCAGACAUGGGCUGGUUGGAGGAGGCUGCGCUGCUCUGGUUCUGUGCGUGUCCAGAUGUCUGUCUGCAAGGCAGAGGGGGUGCACAAGAGGAGCAGCCUCCUGCCCUGCUUCCCUGUGCUGCUCUCCCCUGCACAGCCCUGCUCACCAUGUUGCUGGUCUGCCUGCCAUUGCCAUGGCCAUGUGGGGCUGCCUGUGUCCCCAGGGCUGUGUGGAAAGGGCCACUGCAAUCAGCAGGUCUGAUGCCAGCUCCUGCAGUGGGGCCACGGCUCAGGAAAGCAGCACUGAACAUUGGGGUAGGGGAAGGGGCCCUUAGGGAGAUUCCAGGGUCUCUAGAAUGGGUUCUGUCUGGGGCUGACUUAUCUGUCCUGUGUGCCAUGGAGACCAGAUGGAGAGCUGCGGACAGGUGUGUGUCCUGUGCUGGUUCCAUGUUGGUGCAGAUGCCCAUCUGCAAGGCAGAGGGGAUGCACGAGAGGAGCAGCCUCCUGCCCUGCUUCCCUGUGCUGCUCUCUCCUGCACAGCACUGCUCACCGUGUUGCUGGUCUGCCAGCCAUUUCCAUGGCCUUGUGGGGCUGCCUGUGUCCCCAAGGCUGUGUGGAAAGGGCCACUGCAAUCAGCAGGUCUGAUGCCAGCUCCUG
ensembl:lncRNA